rnacentral:rRNA from 1 species
GACGAACGCUGGCGGCGUGCUUAACACAUGCCAGUCGAACGGAAAGGCCCUGCUUUUGUGGGGUGCUCGAGUGGCGAACGGGUGAGUAACACGUGAGUAACCUGCCCUUGACUUUGGGAUAACUUCAGGAAACUGGGGCUAAUACCGGAUAGGAGCUCCUGCUGCAUGGUGGGGGUUGGAAAGUUUCGGCGGGUGGGGAUGGACUCGCGGCUUAUCAGCUUGUUGGUGGGGUAGUGGCUUACCAAGGCUUUGACGGGUAGCCGGCCUGAGAGGGUGACCGGCCACAUUGGGACUGAGAUACGGAGCAGACUCCUACGGGAGGCAGCAGUGGGGAAUAUUGCACAAUGGGCGGAAGCCUGAUGCAGCAACGCCGCGUGCGGGAUGACGGCCUUCGGGUUGUAAACCGCUUUCGCCUGUGACGAAGCGUGAGUGACGGUAAUGGGUAAAGAAGCACCGGCUAACUACGUG